AUUGAACGCUGGCGGCAGGCCUAACACAUGCAAGUCGAACGGUAGCACAGAGAGCUUGCUCUCGGGUGACGAGUGGCGGACGGGUGAGUAAUGUCUGGGAAACUGCCUGAUGGAGGGGGAUAACUACUGGAAACGGUAGCUAAUACCGCAUAAUGUCGCAAGACCAAAGAGGGGGACCUUCGGGCCUCUUGCCAUCAGAUGUGCCCAGAUGGGAUUUAG
rnacentral:rRNA from 1 species